UGUCUGACUCAAAGUGACAGCUUUCACUUCAGUCUGCGCCUUCAGAGCACUUCCUCACUGCCACCCUGAAUCCUGGUGGAGAGAUGAGUUUCUACAGUGAUGCAUCCACCGAGGACAUGAGCGACGAGUUAGCGUCUCUGGGGUGGUACCACUACGACCUGUCCCGCCAUGCUGCAGAGGCCCUUCUCUUGUCCAAUGGGACUGAUGGAAGUUAUCUCCUGAGAAACAGUAAUGAGGGACCAGGCUGCUUUGCUCUGUCUGUGAGGGCGAAGGAUUCUGUCAAGCAUUUUCAUGUGACACGCAGAAACAACACUUAUGUGUUUGGGUUUAAUGAGUUUGCCACCCUUCAAGACUUCGUUAACCACUUUGCUAACCAGCCUCUGCUUGGCAGUGACGCAGGAACCCUCAUCGUGCUGAAGUGUCCAUACCCGUGGCGUGUGGAGGAGCCAUCCAUCUAUGAGUCAGUGCGAGUUCACACAGCCAUACAGACGGGACGCACAGAAAAUGAUCUGGUGCCAACUGCUCCAUCGCUGGGCACAAAGGAAGGCUAUCUGGUGAAACAAGGAGCAAUUGUGAAGAGCUGGAGACAGAGGUGGUUCACACUCAACAGAUAUGAACUCAAAUACUUCAAAGACAAUAUGUGUGAGGAGCCCAUUCGAACCCUGGAUCUAAGAGCCUGCUCUGCAGUCCAAUUUGACUACUCACAGGACAGAGUCAACUGUUUCUGUCUGGUGUUUCCUGAGAGGACAUUUUAUCUGUGUGCAAAGACGGGUGUGGAAGCAGAUGAGUGGAUCAAGAUUCUGAGGUGGAAACUGCCUUUAGAGGGUUGUUUGACUAAGGAGGAGUCUAAGAAAGAAAAUGUUGCGUAACCUGCGGGACACAUACAUCUGUAACAAGAGAGAGGGACAGGGCAAAAGUGGACAGCCGGCCAGCAUGAAAAAAAAGUGGAAAUAUAUGGAAGCAAUGGCCCUCUUGAAAUUGACAGCCAUGAUGAAGCCUACAGCACGGUCUUUACCGAGGCCAUGAAAUGUGUGUGAGCUUUUGCACCAAAAUGACGCGUGAACUCUGGCAUUGCUAGGGGACGCAACUAUGUCAUGGCAGGUGUAUUGCUUAGGACCCAAGGAAGUGCAGAGUUGAGAGUGAAAGUUGUUUGGAUGAGCAGAUCUCAACAAAGCUGCAAGCUGCAAUACUGGAGGCGAAGCAACUGGCCGACUCUGAGCAGGCACUUUUUGAGCGGGCACUGUGGUAUGCAUUGAAAGACAGCCAUCCAUCAUGUAACACGAGACCAGAAGAAGAAGGGUUUCUGAAGAGCUAGCCAAAUAUGCAGGCUGGGAACUGUAUUAAAAAUGUUUUGAACAAACUAAUUUGAUGGGUGUAGGGAAAACUCAGUGGGACAAUUCUUCAACUCAAAGUCAAAGAAGAACCUGACAUCUUGAACUACAUUUAUGUAGCUGACACUUUUAUCCAAAGCGACUUACAAUAAAUGGUAAAUGGACUUCCCCUUGUGCUGUACCCUCCUCGUCUUCUGACCACUCAAAGCACUCUUUACACAAUUGCCGCCUGCUGUUCAGAUAAACAUUCAUACACAACCACACACUAGUUACCAGCCAUGGGGUUGAAGCACACCGGUAAGUCACAGAUCAGCAAAGGUCGAUGACUGCUGCCGGUGGAGACUCCAGAGAUGGAAAGAAGUCCCACGUACAUGGAAGACGUCAUCGCAGAUGGAUGAGCAAUGAUGAACAGCAUGAUUUAAAAGUGAAGAGUAAACUCGAGCAUGACUAAGACUGGGACACAUUUCCCUCAGUGCACUGACUGAAGACUAACAACAUGGAAGUGACACCACUUUGCUUUUUAAUCGUCCAAAGAUGCUUUGUUUCUCAUAAGUUUCCUGUUAAUAGUCGCUGCUUUUCCCAGACGAUGUUUGUUACUACUAACAUCAACUUAGGACAUUGCCGGCAUUAUUCUAUAAGUCUAAAACCAACAAUGAGUGUGUCUCAAAAUGCAUACCUCUAUUAGUACACUUCAAUGUAGUACACUUUGUACACGAGGAACCUCUUGCGCGGUGCCCUAAUUUCAACAUUGCACACUGCCGUUUUGCAGUGACCAAAAGUGACAACAGAUUUUUUUUUUCUUUUUUACCGCCUCUUCUUCUUCUUCUUCUUCUUCUUCUUCUUCUUCUUCUUCUUCUUCUUUUUAAAGGGCGAGUAGCAAACAGACGGUGGAGUAUUAUCGCCAACAUAUGGGAGCUAUCUCUGCCCACUUAUUACCAAACUUAUGCCACAACAUCAGUGCUAAUUAAAAUGUGCCGCUGUAGUUAGGAGUAUGUUAGCUAGCUAGCUAGUGAAUGCCAACAUUAUCUAGCAGACUAAUGUUAGUACUCGAAUUUUUGUUUGCGGUAGCAAAUCAUUACAAACCCAACAAACAUUACUGACCCGCCUCUGUUUGACAACAGUAUUGCACUUAGUGUAAAAAACAUGUAUAGCUUACAUCUGUAUAAUGCAGCGAUGUUCACUGUAGCCAGCUUAGGCUACUUGUUUUUCCAAGACACCAUGUCAAAAGUUGAGAAGUUCUGCUAUGUCACAAAGAUGGCGAGUGUUGAGGAUGAGAAGUUUCUAUCAUUCCAUACUCAGCUUUUGGAAUGUUGUGAAUGCACCAGUAGUAUACUGCAUUUUCCCACACUAUGCAGCAUGAACACACUUAGCGCACCUGUGCACUCAAAUUAUUAAGUGUUUAGUACAGAAGUAUGCUAUUUGAGACACACAGAAUAUGUUAGUCCGUCUCUCAGUCCUUUGUGACUUCCCACUCUGUCUGUGGCUCUCAGCUCCAAGCCCACUGGUUCCUACUGCUGAGGAAACAGCUCACUGAUAUAUAUAGUAUAGUAUAUAUAGUUCACAGCAACAGUUAACCACUUUUAUUGUUUAGAGAGCGUUACUCAAACAGGAGGAAAUAAUGCAUUGUUCGGGGACUGUCUUUACACACUGUUCUUUAUUUACACUGAACAAAAAUUUGUACAGUUUCGUUUUCACUCUCAUUUUUGAGUUGAAAUAAAAAGAUCUAAGACUUUUUCCAUGCACACAAAAGACUGAUUUCUCACAUUUUGUGCACAAAUGCGUUAAAAUCCAUGUUAGUGAGCACUUCUCCUUUCCCAAGAUAGUCCCUUCCACCUGACAGGUGUGGCAUAUCAAGAUGCUGAUUAAACAGCAUCAAUUACUACACAGGCGUGCCUUGGGAUGGCCACAAUAAAAGGCCACUCUCGACUAAAGACAUUAAUUAGGCACUCUGAACAAGGCUUUCACAUGACUAGGGCUACAGAUAUGCACUUUUUGGUCCAGCGGGAUACUUCUGAGAAAAGAACAUUUCUGCAAACUGCCAGACACCAUGGAAGGUGAACAGUUGUUCACUCAAGUCGAUCAUGACGACAAACUGCUGACAGGUCAAGACCCUGCAGAGGAUGAGGAGGACGUAUGAGUUUCCCUGAGACAGUUUGAGUGCAAAUUCUUUGAUACAAACCAAUUGUGCUUCAGCUGUUUGGAUGGCUACUCCCAGACCAUCUUACAGGUGAGGAUACAGGAUGUGGAGGUCCUGAGCUGGUGUGGUCUGUGGUUGUGAGGAUGAUUGGAUGUACUGCCAAAUUCAAGGAAACCUCAUUGGAGACAACUUAUGGGAGAGGAAAGAACAUUCAGUUCAUGGGCAGCAUCUCUGGUUGACACUCCUGCAGUCAGCAUGCCAAUUGUACACUCCCUUCAAACUUGUGACAUCUGUGUCAUUGUUGUGUGUGAUCACACUGCACAUUAUAGAGUGACCUUUUACUGUGACCAUCCCAAGGCACACCUGUGUAGUAAUGAUGCUGUUUAAUCAGCAUCUUGAUAUGCCACACCUGUGAGGUGGGAUGGAUUAUCUUGGAGAAAGACAAGUGCUCACUAACACAGAUUUAAACAAAUGUGUUACCAAAAUUUGAGAGGAAUGUAUCUGUUGAGUGCAUAAAAUCUUACACCUAAAAUUUAAACCUGUACAAAAUGAGAGCAAAAACAAAAGUCUUGGUUUUAAUUUUUGUUCAGUAUAUAUUAAGGACAGCAGGACAGUGUGUGUGGGAUGGACCUUUUACACAGCAGACAUUUUGACGUGUCAUAUUAGGAAAAGCAGGGAUGGAACUGAUAACAUGAACAAUGGUUUAGUUCCAAUAAGUGUCCUAGUAAGCUAUUCAGUGAGCCAGCAUGCACAAUACCAGGGCCUCACCUAAAUUGAAUGCAGCUAUUGUUAAUGUUAUUAUAUACACCUGUAAUUUUUCCUACCAUGACAUGGCAAAAUGACUACUGUGAAAAAGGUCUGGAGUCAAAAUAAACUAUUGUAUGUGACUUCAUGAUGUGUGUAAGGAUGUGUUCACUGUAGAUUUUGGUCUGCACAUAAGGGUUGUUAACAAGAAACAGAACCAGUCACCUCUGCUCUGGGUGGUGAGUACUGCAUGAGAACUUACUGAAGACUGAUGAAUGUAACCAAGUGUAGAAAAUGACUUUAAAUACAAACCUACCAACUGAAGCAUUCUAAUCAAAUGGUUCAUUUUGUAGUGACUCCUCUUAAACAGUAAUAAAUUAAUGUUAAUGGGGCAGCAACAAAGUCAACAUGCAACUAUAUUGCUACUCUGACAUUUCACUGUAAAAAUUCAAUUUAAAACUAGUGUAGGGAGGUCUUUAACAGCUCCUAGUGGCAGCAGGGGUUAACUGAAUUUGUCACCUUUGAUGUCAUCUCACUACGGUACACGUGAUCUUCUGUACCUCCGUCAGUUUUUUAUACAAGGGACCUAUCUUUACAACGCUGCUUACAAAUAAAUGCCAAAACAAAACCAAA